GGGGAUGUUUGGAUUCGACGGUAAAAACCUAGGGAGCAUUCGGAGCGUGCUUUAUGGCUCACGCUAAUCGGCCAUAAUAAACACAAGUGCAAACACAUUUGCAUCGAAGGUGAAAAAUGGCGUAUUCGCUAUGCCCACUUUCGUACCCGUCGCCGCUUAAGUGCCGCGACCAUCCGACCUGGCGAUGUUUCCAUAGCCGGAAUCGGGUGUCAUCUUAUGGAAAUAGGCAAGAGGACCGCCCCCGGCUUCUCGCUGAAAACAAAGGGAGCUAGCUUUUGCCGAUUUUGUCCGGCCCUUACGGCAGAAGCGAACCAACAGGCCAGACUACUUCCGUAAAAGUGUUCCUAUCCAGGCUUUAUCGCACGCGGGUUCAAUUCCCGCCAUCUCCACAA
rnacentral:tmRNA from 1 species